GGACUCACUUUGGCAGCACAUAUACUAAAAUUGGAAUGAUACAGAGAAGAUUAGCAUGACCACUGUGCAAAGAUGCCACACAGAUUUGUGAAGCACUCCAUAUUUUC